rnacentral:rRNA from 1 species
GACGAACGCUGGCGGCGCGCCUAACACAUGCAAGUCGAACGGAGCUGAGAGAAGCUUGCUUUUCUUAGCUUAGUGGCGAACGGGUGAGUAACGCGUGAGUAACCUGCCCUGGAGUGGGGGACAACAGUUGGAAACGACUGCUAAUACCGCAUAAGCCCACGAUCCGGCAUCGGAUUGAGGGAAAAGGAUUUAUUCGCUUCAGGAUGGACUCGCGUCCAAUUAGCUAGUUGGUGAGGUAACGGCCCACCAAGGCGACGAUUGGUAGCCGGACUGAGAGGUUGAACGGCCACAUUGGGACUGAGACACGGCCCAGACUCCUACGGGAGGCAGCAGUGGGGGAUAUUGCACAAUGGGGGAAACCCUGAUGCAGCGACGCCGCGUGGAGGAAGAAGGUUUUCGGAUUGUAAACUCCUGUCGUUAGGGUCGAUAAUGACGGUACCUAACAAGAAAGCACCGGCUAACUACGUG